AUGAAUUCAGAUAAGUGGGAAAAUUUCAAAGACUCGUGCAGUUACAGUACCAGGAGUGUUUAUGACAUGCUGAGAGGGGAUAAGAUGAAAAUGAGCUGGAGAAAGCUUACCAUGGGAAACCAGGCCAAACCCAGAACAAUCAUUGUGGCAUGGAUGACUUGCCUUGGGAGAUUCCCAACCAAAGACAUGGUGAACAUAUUCAGAUUGAAUACGGAUGGACUGUGCGUGUUCUAUGGUUUGCAAGAGAGCAUCAAACAUCUCUGCUACGACUGUGAGUUUGCAAAGAAUCUGUGGAAUCAAUUAUUUGAUUGGGUUCUAGUGCACCAAAAGCCGAUUAAUGGACAGUAG